CCUUUUGUAUAAUGGGUCAGCGACUUAUAUUCUGUAGCAAGGUUAACCGAAUAGGGGAGCCGAAGGGAAACCGAGUCUUAACUGGGCGUUAAGUUGCAGGGUAUAGACCCGAAACCCGGUGAUCUAGCCAUGGGCAGGUUGAAGGUUGGGUAACACUAACUGGAGGACCGAACCGACUAAUGUUGAAAAAUUAGCGGAUGACUUGUGGCUGGGGGUGAAAGGCCAAUCAAACCGGGAGAUAGCUGGUUCUCCCCGAAAGCUAUUUAGGUAGCGCCUCGUGAAUUCAUCUCCGGGGGUAGAGCACUGUUUCGGCAAGGGGGUCAUCCCGACUUACCAACCCGAUGCAAACUGCGAAUACCGGAGAAUGUUAUCACGGGAGACACACGGCGGGUGCUAACGUCCGUCGUGAAGAGGGAAACAACCCAGACCGCCAGCUAAGGUCCCAAAGUCAUGGUUAAGUGGGAAACGAUGUGGGAAGGCCCAGACAGCCAGGAUGUUGGCUUAGAAGCAGCCAUCAUUUAAAGAAAGCGUAAUAGCUCACUGGUCGAGUCGGCCUGCGCGGAAGAUGUAACGGGGCUAAACCAUGCACCGAAGCUGCGGCAGCGACGCUGAUGCGUUGUUGGGUAGGGGAGCGUUCUGUAAGCCUGCGAAGGUGUGCUGUGAGGCAUGCUGGAGGUAUCAGAAGUGCGAAUGCUGACAUAA
rnacentral:rRNA from 1 species